UAUUUAUUAGAUAAAAAACCAAUGCCCUUCGGGGCUCCUUGGUGAUUCAUAAUAACUUAACGAAUCGCAUGGCCUUGCGCCGGCGAUGGUUCAUUCAAAUUUCUGCCCUAUCAACUUUCGAUGGUAAGAUAGUGGCUUACCAUGGUCUCAACGGGUAACGGGGAAUUAGGGUUCUAUUCCGGAGAGGGAGCCUGAGAAACGGCUACCACAUCCAAGGAAGGCAGCAGGCGCGCAAAUUACCCAAUCCCAAUUCGGGGAGGUAGUGACAAUAAAUACUGAUACGGGGCUCUUUCGGGUCUCGUAAUUGGAAUGAGUACAAUCUAAAUCCCUUAACGAGGAACAAUUGGAGGGCAAGUCUGGUGCCAGCAGCCGCGGUAAUUCCAGCUCCAAUAGCGUAUAUUAAAGUUGUUGCCGUUAAAAAGCUCGUAGUUGAACCUUGGACCUGGCUGAUCUGUCCUCCUAAUCGAGCGCACGGAUUCGGUCGGGUCUUUCCUUCUGGGGAGCCCUAUGCCCUUCACUGGGUGUAGUGGGGAACCAGGACUUUUACCUUGAAAAAAUUAGAGUGUUCAAAGCAGG
rnacentral:rRNA from 1 species